rnacentral:rRNA from 1 species
GGUUAAGCGACUAAGCGUACACGGUGGAUGCCCUGGCAGUCAGAGGCGAUGAAGGACGUGCUAAUCUGCGAAAAGCGUCGGUAAGGUGAUAUGAACCGUUAUAACCGGCGAUGUCCGAAUGGGGAAACCCAGUGCAAUUCGUUGCACUAUCGUUAACUGAAUACAUAGGUUAACGAGGCGAACCGGGGAACUGAAACAUCUAAGUACCCCGAGGAAAAGAAAUCAACCGAGAUUCCCCCAGUAGCGGCGAGCGAACGGGGAGCAGCCCAGAGUCUGAAUCAGCUUGUGUGUUAGUGGAACGGUCUGGAAAGUCCGACGGUACAGGGUGAUAGUCCCGUACACCAAAAUGCACAGGUUGUGAACUCGAAGAGUAGGGCGGGACACGUGGUAUCCUGUCUGAAUAUGGGGGGACCAUCCUCCAAGGCUAAAUACUCCUGACUGACCGAUAGUGAACCAGUACCGUGAGGGAAAGGCGAAAAGAACCCCGGCGAGGGGAGUGAAAAAGAACCUGAAACCGUGUACGUACAAGCAGUGGGAGCACCUUCGGGUGUGACUGCGUACCUUUUGUAUAAUGGGUCAGCGACUUAUAUUCUGUAGCAAGGUUAACCGUAUAGGGGAGCCGCAGGGAAACCGAGUCUUAACUGGGCGUUAAGUUGCAGGGUAUAGACCCGAAACCCGGUGAUCUAGCCAUGGGCAGGUUGAAGGUUGGGUAACACUAACUGGAGGACCGAACCGACUAAUGUUGAAAAAUUAGCGGAUGACUUGUGGCUGGGGGUGAAAGGCCAAUCAAACCGGGAGAUAGCUGGUUCUCCCCGAAAGCUAUUUAGGUAGCGCCUCGUGAAUUCAUCUUCGGGGGUAGAGCACUGUUUCGGCUAGGGGGUCAUCCCGACUUACCAACCCGAUGCAAACUACGAAUACCGAAGAAUGUUAUCACGGGAGACACACGGCGGGUGCUAACGUCCGUCGUGAAGAGGGAAACAACCCAGACCGCCAGCUAAGGUCCCAAAGUCAUGGUUAAGUGGGAAACGAUGUGGGAAGGCACAGACAGCCAGGAUGUUGGCUUAGAAGCAGCCAUCAUUUAAAGAAAGCGUAAUAGCUCACUGGUCGAGUCGGCCUGCGCGGAAGAUGUAACGGGGCUAAACCAUGCACCGAAGCUGCGGCAGCGACACUAUGUGUUGUUGGGUAGGGGAGCGUUCUGUAAGCCUGCGAAGGUGUGCUGUGAGGCAUGCUGGAGGUAUCAGAAGUGCGAAUGCUGACAUAAGUAACGAUAAAGCGGGUGAAAAGCCCGCUCGCCGGAAGACCAAGGGUUCCUGUCCAACGUUAAUCGGGGCAGGGUGAGUCGACCCCUAAGGCGAGGCCGAAAGGCGUAGUCGAUGGGAAACAGGUUAAUAUUCCUGUACUUGGUGUUACUGCGAAGGGGGGACGGAGAAGGCUAUGUUAGCCGGGCGACGGUUGUCCCGGUUUAAGCAUGUAGGCUGAUUAUCCAGGCAAAUCCGGAUAAUCAAGGCUGAGGUGUGAUGACGAGGCACUACGGUGCUGAAGUAACAAAUGCCCUGCUUCCAGGAAAAGCCUCUAAGCAUCAGGUAACAUCAAAUCGUACCCCAAACCGACACAGGUGGUCAGGUAGAGAAUACCAAGGCGCUUGAGAGAACUCGGGUGAAGGAACUAGGCAAAAUGGUGCCGUAACUUCGGGAGAAGGCACGCUGGUGUGUAGGUGAAGCCCCUGCGGGUGGAGCUGAGACCAGUCGAAGAUACCAGCUGGCUGCAACUGUUUAUUAAAAACACAGCACUGUGCAAACACGAAAGUGGACGUAUACGGUGUGACGCCUGCCCGGUGCCGGAAGGUUAAUUGAUGGGGUUAUCCGUAAGGAGAAGCUCUUGAUCGAAGCCCCGGUAAACGGCGGCCGUAACUAUAACGGUCCUAAGGUAGCGAAAUUCCUUGUCGGGUAAGUUCCGACCUGCACGAAUGGCGUAAUGAUGGCCAGGCUGUCUCCACCCGAGACUCAGUGAAAUUGAACUCGCUGUGAAGAUGCAGUGUACCCGCGGCAAGACGGAAAGACCCCGUGAACCUUUACUAUAGCUUGACACUGAACAUUGAGCCUUGAUGUGUAGGAUAGGUGGGAGGCUUUGAAGCGUGGACGCCAGUCUGCGUGGAGCCAACCUUGAAAUACCACCCUUUAAUGUUUGAUGUUCUAACGUUGGCCCCUGACCGGGGUUGCGGACAGUGUCUGGUGGGUAGUUUGACUGGGGCGGUCUCCUCCCAAAGCGUAACGGAGGAGCACGAAGGUUAGCUAAUCCUGGUCGGACAUCAGGAGGUUAGUGCAAUGGCAUAAGCUAGCUUGACUGCGAGCGUGACGGCGCGAGCAGGUGCGAAAGCAGGUCAUAGUGAUCCGGUGGUUCUGAAUGGAAGGGCCAUCGCUCAACGGAUAAAAGGUACUCCGGGGAUAACAGGCUGAUACCGCCCAAGAGUUCAUAUCGACGGCGGUGUUUGGCACCUCGAUGUCGGCUCAUCACAUCCUGGGGCUGAAGUAGGUCCCAAGGGUAUGGCUGUUCGCCAUUUAAAGUGGUACGCGAGCUGGGUUUAGAACGUCGUGAGACAGUUCGGUCCCUAUCUGCCGUGGGCGCUGGAGAAUUGAGGGGGGCUGCUCCUAGUACGAGAGGACCGGAGUGGACGCAUCACUGGUGUUCGGGUUGUCAUGCCAAUGGCACUGCCCGGUAGCUAAAUGCGGAAGAGAUAAGUGCUGAAAGCAUCUAAGCACGAAACUUGCCCCGAGAUGAGUUCUCCCUGAGACUUUAAGUCUCCUGAAGGAACGUUGAAGACGACGACGUUGAUAGGCCGGGUGUGUAAGCGCAGCGAUGCGUUGAGCUAACCGGUACUAAUGAACCGUGAGGCUUAACCUU